rnacentral:tRNA from 1 species
CAGAAAGUUAGUCUAAUCAAGACR